AGGGUGGCCUGGUGUGUUUUCGUGUGCAUCAGCAGAUGACGACUGUGGCAUACCACGGGUGAUGGCGCGUUUGACGCCCUAACAGUGCCUCUGCAACUAACCCCCCCCACUUUUCAUCUCAGUGGGGGUUUUUGGAGGUCGCUCUUCCUCGAUUAAGAGUUAUAAUACGAUUUUCUUCCUUUUGUCGGGGGCGGGGGGUUCUCUCGCUUGCCUGGAGAGGGCGUAACUCGGCUCCCCUAAUCCCACUAACACUUUGGGCUUGGGUGGGUCACGUUUGGGUCCCUAGUUGGGCGGUUAAAUCUCCCGAACUGGGGACUGAAGCGGCCGGUUACGUUCCCCAAUGGGUUCCAGCCAUAGUGCCCUUCAGUUGCCCGACGAUAAAGGAGUAAAUGGGAAAAAAAAAAAAUAGCCAAAUGCCUCGUCAUUUAAUUAGUGACGCGCAUGAAUGGAUUAACGAGAUUCCCACUGUCCUUAC
rnacentral:ncRNA from 1 species